UACGUAGGGGGCGAGCGUUGUCCGGAAUUAUUGGGCGUAAAGAGCUCGUAGGCGGUCUGUCGCGUCUGCUGUGAAAACUCGGGGCUUAACCCCGGGCCUGCAGUGGGUACGGGCAGACUAGAGUGCGGUAGGGGAGACUGGAAUUCCUGGUGUAGCGGUGAAAUGCGCAGAUAUCAGGAGGAACACCGAUUGCGAAGGCAGCUCGCUGGGACGUCACUGACGCUGAGACGCGAAAGCGUGGGGAGCAAACAGG
rnacentral:rRNA from 1 species